rnacentral:sRNA from 1 species
CUUUAGCCCCGAUUGCAGUGGAAAUCCUUUUUUUCUACCUUAUUUUAGGUAGAAAAAAAGAUUGUAGCGGAAAGCGGGAAACUUG